rnacentral:rRNA from 1 species
CGGUGAAGCCCAGCUUGCUGGGUGGAUCAGUGGCGAACGGGUGAGUAACACGUGAGCAACCUGCCCUCCACUUCGGGAUAAGCCUUGGAAACGGGGUCUAAUACCGGAUAUGAGCUCGCAUCGCAUGGUGUGGGUUGGAAAGUUUUUCGGUGGGGGAUGGGCUCGCGGCCUAUCAGCUUGUUGGUGGGGUGAUGGCCUACCAAGGCGUCGACGGGUAGCCGGCCUGAGAGGGCGACCGGCCACACUGGGACUGAGACACGGCCCAGACUCCUACGGGAGGCAGCAGUGGGGAAUAUUGCACAAUGGGCGCAAGCCUGAUGCAGCGACGCCGCGUGAGGGAUGACGGCCUUCGGGUUGUAAACCUCUUUCAGCAGGGAAGAAGCGCAAGUGACGGUACCUGCAGAAGAAGCGCCGGCUAACUACGUGCCAGCAGCCGCGGUAAUACGUAGGGCGCAAGCGUUGUCCGGAAUUAUUGGGCGUAAAGAGCUCGUAGGCGGUCUGUCGCGUCUGGUGUGAAAUCCCGAGGCUCAACCUCGGGCUUGCAUCGGGUACGGGCAGACUAGAGUGCGGUAGGGGAGACUGGAAUUCCUGGUGUAGCGGUGGAAUGCGCAGAUAUCAGGAGGAACACCGAUGGCGAAGGCAGGUCUCUGGGCCGCAACUGACGCUGAGGAGCGAAAGCAUGGGGAGCGAACAGGAUUAGAUACCCUGGUAGUCCAUGCCGUAAACGUUGGGCACUAGGUGUGGGGCUCAUUCCACGAGUUCCGUGCCGCAGCUAACGCAUUAAGUGCCCCGCCUGGGGAGUACGGCCGCAAGGCUAAAACUCAAAGGAAUUGACGGGGGCCCGCACAAGCGGCGGAGCAUGCGGAUUAAUUCGAUGCAACGCGAAGAACCUUACCAAGGCUUGACAUGUACGAGAAAGCCCCCGAGACGGGGUUCUCUUUGGACACUCGUACACAGGUGGUGCAUGGUUGUCGUCAGCUCGUGUCGUGAGAUGUUGGGUUAAGUCCCGCAACGAGCGCAACCCUCGUCCUAUGUUGCCAGCGGGUUAUGCCGGGGACUCAUGGGAGACUGCCGGGGUCAACUCGGAGGAAGGUGGGGAUGACGUCAAAUCAUCAUGCCCCUUAUGUCUUGGGCUUCACGCAUGCUACAAUGGCCGGUACAGAGGGCUGCGAUACCGUAAGGUGGAGCGAAUCCCAAAAAGCCGGUCUCAGUUCGGAUUGGGGUCCGCAACUCGACCCCAUGAAGUCGGA